UGUGCUCUCCUUGGGACGUGUGGUCAGUUUGUGUCUGUGUCCUUCCUUGCUGUCUCUGCAUUUCCUGUGUUUGCUUUGUCUGUGGAUUAUUCCUUGUUUGGACUUGUUUGGAUUCCUAGCUGCUUUUUGUUUGCUCCUGCUCCAUUUUGAGUUUUGCUGUGGAGGUUCCGUCUAAGGCCAAACUGAGGGUGACGACAGGCCUACUGGCUCCGGUGAUGUGCACUACGUGUCAUUUCCUCUGAGAGAUUUCUCGCCUCAGCUGGUUGGAAAGAUGACCUGAAACUGAGAGAAGAAAACAACAAAUGGCGAACGAGGGAGAAAGCAAGAGAAAAGAGGACAGAAAGGUCACAGUGAUCUUGGAGCAACGGAGAGAGAGAGAGGGAGGAAGAGGGAGAAGGAGACAGAGACUGUGAGAUACUGUUGUGUUGGUAAAUAAAGGACAUGAGAAAUGGUAAAGUAAUUCUUUUUUGGGACGGCCUUCGCUCUAGUCAAAACAGCCUGGACAAGCUCCUGGUUUAAAGACUGGUUGGUCACUGAAAUGAAUCGUAAUGCUGGUUCUUCUCAGAAUGCAGACAAAAUCUGUAGUCCUUCUUUUGUUUUGGAAGUCAAGCUGAAGUUAAUCUUCACCCUGUUAGUCGCUUAAUUUCCUGUAAAUCCUCCAUUGUAGCUUAGCAAAAACACAGUCCACGAAAACAUAAAUGGAGGAAUUUGUACA